CCUACGGGAGGCAGCAGUGGGGAAUUUUGGACAAUGGGGGAAACCCUGAUCCAGCGACGCCGCGUGGAGGAUUGAAGGUCUUCGGAUCGUAAACUCCUUUUAGAUGGGACGAAUGUACGGUAUGUAACUAUAUCGUAUUGACUGUACCAUCAGAAUAAGCCACGGCUAACUCUGUGCCAGCAGCCGCGGUAAGACAGAGGUGGCAAGCGUUGUUCGGAAUUACUGGGCUUAAAGGGCGCGUAGGCGGUGGAGUAAGUCUGAGGUGGAAGAUUAGGGCCUAACCCUAAAAUUGCCUUGGAAACUGCAUCACUUGAGUCAGCGAGGGGAUGGCGGAAUUCCAGGUGUAGCGGUGAAAUGCGUAGAUAUCUGGAGGAAGGCCGGUGGCGAAGGCGGCCAUCUGGCGCUGAACUGACGCUGAGGCGCGAAAGCGUGGGGAGCAAACAGGAUUAGAUACCCUGGUAGUCCACGCCCUAAACGGUGGGUACUAGGUGUAGGGCUCGCAAGGGUUCUGUGCCGUAGGGAAACCAUUAAGUACCCCGCCUGGGGAGUACGGCCGCAAGGUUGAAACUUAAAGGAAUUGACGG
rnacentral:rRNA from 1 species